rnacentral:rRNA from 1 species
UCUGGAGGGCAAGUCUGGUGCCAGCAGCCGCGGUAAUUCCAGCUCCAAUAGCGUAUAUUAAAGUUGUUGCAGUUAAAAAGCUCGUAGUUGAAUUUUGGGUCUGGCCGGGCGGUCCGCCCUCUGGGUGAGCACUGUUCCGACGUCGGGCCUAUCCUUCUGGUGAGUCGGCAUGUCCUUUAUUGGGUGUGUCGGGGAACCAGGACCAUUACCUUGAAAAAAUUAGAGUGUUCAAAGCAGGCGUAUGCUCGGAUACAUUAGCAUGGAAUAAUGAAAUAGGACGUUCGAUCCUAUUUUGCUGGUUUCUAGGAUUGACGUAAUGAUUAAUAGGGAUAGUUGGGGGCAUUAGUAUUCAAUUGUCAGAGGUGAAAUUCUUGGAUUUAUUGAAGACUAACUACUGCGAAAGCAUUUGCCAAGGAUGUUUUCAUUAAUCAAGAACGAAAGUUAGGGGAUCGGAGACGAUCAGAUACCGUCGUAGUCUUAACCAUAAACUAUGCCGACUAGGGAUCGGAUGAUGUUAAUUUUUUAAUGACUCAUUCGGCGCCUUACGGGAAAC